rnacentral:rRNA from 1 species
GACGAACCGUGCGAACGUUGUUCGGAAUCACUGGGCUUAAAGGGCGCGUAGGCGGGCGACCAAGUCAGGGGUGAAAUCCUCCGGCUCAACCGGAGAACAGCCUUUGAUACUGGUCACCUCGAGGGAGGUAGGGGCAUGUGGAACUUCCGGUGGAGCGGUGAAAUGCGUAGAUAUCGGAAGGAACGCCGGUGGCGAAGGCGGGUCUCUGGGCCGAUACUGACGCUGAGGAGCGAAAGCGUGGGGAGCGAACAGG